GCCUACGGCCAUCCCACCCUGGUAACGCCCCGAUCUCGUCUGAUCUCGGAAGCUAAGCAGGGUCGGGCCUGGUUAGUACUUGGAUGGGAGACCUCCUGGGAAUACCGGGUGCUGUAGGCU
ensembl:rRNA 5S_rRNA 5S ribosomal RNA